rnacentral:lncRNA from 1 species
UUGUAGCAAAACCUAGCUCUACUAUACUAUGUUGUUGUGUCACGUGUCAUACUAACUUACAAACCAGCCAAUGAAUGAGAAUCCAAUAUCGAAAUUAAAUAUGGGUGUGACUCAAUCUUCAACUUCUGAAUAUUUCUAUAAUCAACAAAACAGCUCAACAAAUCGAUCAAAAACAUAACCAUUAAUCGAUAUUAUCUCAUGUUAUGUGAAUAUUUAUAAUAGUUACAAGAUUAAUAAAAUUGUAUUAUUUAAAUGAAACUUUGUAGAAAAAAUUAGGAGAAAAAAAAAAGAUAUUAAUGCGCC